rnacentral:rRNA from 1 species
UAAUACGAGAGGCCCAAACGUUAUUCGGAAUUACUGGGCUUACAGAGUUCGUAGGCGGCUCAGAAAGUUGGGUGUGAAAUCCCUCGGCCCAACCGAGGAAUUGCGCUCAAAACUACUGAGCUUGAGGGGUAUAGAGGUAAGCGGAACUGAUGGUGGAGCGGUGAAAUGCGUUGAUAUCAUCAGGAACACCGGUGGCGAAGGCGGCUUACUGGGUACCUCCUGACGCUGAGGAACGAAAGCUAGGGGAGCGAACGGGAUUAGAUACCCCGGUAGUCCUAGCUGUAAACGAUGAGCACUGGGUCGAGGGACUGUCCAGUUUCUCGGCCGUAGCGAAAGUGUUAAGUGCUCCGCCUGGGGAGUAUGGUCGCAAGGCUG